AAGCGGAUUGCGUUGGAUUGGUGGGCGCUUGUGUGUUCAGCCUUCGGGUGCAUUGACACAAGUGCUUAUCCGCCGUGAGUUCUCGGGGGUCGAUUUUGGAUCUCUGGGGACUGAGGGCUCCCCUUCAUGGGUGAGGACGGCGGAGUGACGACGCGAUACGACCCGUCUUGAAACACGGACCAAGGAGUCUAGCGCGGGUGCGAGUCGGAGGGUGCAAGCCCGUGGGCGAAGUGAAAGCGAGUUUUAAAAACUAGCAGUUUGGGGCGGCAUAAGAUCGUUGAUCUUAAGACCGACCCAGAGCAGUUGCGCUGGGACCCGAAAGAUGGUGAACUAUGCCGGAGUAGGGCAAAGCCAGAGGAAACUCUGGUGGAGGCUCGUAGCGGUGCUGACGUGCAAAUCGCUCGUCGAACUUGGGUAUAGGGGCGAAAGACUAAUCGAACCAUCUAGUAGCUGGUUCCCUCCGAAGUUUCUCUCAGGAUAGCGGGCCGACAAGUUGUUUUGUGCGGUAAAGCGAAUGAUUAGCGCAUUUCGGGGGCGUUUAGCCUUCGGGCGAUUCUCAAACUUUCAAUGCGCAAGGGUGCCGCUGCUUAAUUGAGCGGUACCGGUAAAAACGUCGGCCCUGUGGGCCACUUUUGGUAAGCAGAACUGGCGAUACGGGAUGAACCGUAAGCAAGGUUAAGGCGCCAAACUGCCCGCUUAUAGACCCCACAAAAGGUGUUGAUUCAUCGAGACAGCAGGACGGUGGCCAUGGAAGUCGGAAUCCGCCAAGGAGUGUGUAAAAACUCACCUGCCGAAUGAAUUAGCCCUGAAAAUGGAUGGCGCUGAAGCGGGCGGCCGACACCUUGCCGUCUGAACAAGAAUUUCAGAUGAGUAGGAGGGCGUGGCGGCCGUGUCGAAGCGCGCGUGCAGACGCGUGUGGAACAGCCGCUAGUGCAGAUCUUGGUGGUAGUAGCAAGUAUUCAAGCGAGAUCCUUGAAGGGCGAAGUGGGGAAGGGUUUCACGCGAACAUUGAUUGGGCGUGAGUGAGUCGUUCCUAAGCCGAGUGGCAAUUGCUAAUUAACGGCGAAAGGGAAGCGGGUUGACAUUCCCGCACACGGAUGUGGAGGCGGCGACGCAUUAUUGGGGCGAACACGCUGGCGGUGGCGCUGGGCAGAGUUGUCUUUUCUGUUUGACCGCUUGCGCACGCGGUGUGGAAUCCGCUUGUCGGGAGAAACACGCGUGUACGGGCAGAGCGCUGGGGCUUUUCCAGCGUCCAGCUCGCCACCGACGGCCCUUGAAACUUUGCCUGCUGAUAUAAGAUCCACGCCGUGGCGUACCGAUCACCGCAUCAGGUCCCCAAGGUGAACAGCCUCUGCUCAAUAUGAAAAAUGCAGGUAAGGGAAGUCGGCAAAUUAGACCCGUAACUUUGGGAAAAGGGUUGGCUCUAGUGCUGCGUGGGAGUGGUUGUCGGACGUUGGCGUUUUUGGUGUGGCGGCUUGGCGCGGAUCCCCCUCGGGGGAUCUGUUCCGGGCUGCUACGCUGAUUUCACCGCGGCCGACGACGCCCACAGCAUGCAGCAGACUAGAACUGCAACGGGCAAAGGGAAUCCGACUGUUUAAUUAAAACAAA
rnacentral:rRNA from 1 species